ensembl:snRNA RNU1-35P RNA, U1 small nuclear 35, pseudogene
AUACUUACCUGGCAGGGGAGACACCAUGAUCACAAAGGUGGUUUUCCCAGGGCAAGACUCAUCCAUUGCACUCCAGAUGUGACCUCUAUGAUUUCCCCAAAUGUGAGAAACUUGACUGUAUAAUUUGUGAUUAUAAUUUUUUAAUUAAAAAAU